AGUGAACGCUGGCGGUAGGCCUAACACAUGCAAGUCGAACGGCAGCACAGUAAGAGCUUGCUCUUACGGGUGGCGAGUGGCGGACGGGUGAGGAAUACAUCGGAAUCUACUUUUUCGUGGGGGAUAACGUAGGGAAACUUACGCUAAUACCGCAUACGACCUACGGGUGAAAGCAGGGGAUCUUCGGACCUUGCGCGAUUGAAUGAGCCGAUGUCGGAUUAGCUAGUUGGCGGGGUAAAGGCCCACCAAGGCGACGAUCCGUAGCUGGUCUGAGAGGAUGAUCCGGCACACUGGAACUGAGACACGGUCCAGACUCCUACGGGAGGCAGCCGUUGGGAAUAUUGGGCAAUGGGCGGAAGCCUUAACCCGGCAAACCGCGGGGGUUAAGAAGGGCUUUGGGGUGUAAAGCCCUUUUGUUGGGAAAGAAAAGCAGCAGGUUAAUACCCCGCUGUUCUGACGGUACCCAAAGAAUAAGCACCGGCUAACUUCGUG
rnacentral:rRNA from 1 species